GACGAACGCUGGCGGCGUGCCUAAUACAUGCAAGUUGAGCGCUGAAGGUUGGUACUUGUACCAACUGGAUGAGCAGCGAACGGGUGAGUAACGCGUGGGGAAUCUGCCUUUGAGCGGGGGACAACAUUUGGAAACGAAUGCUAAUACCGCAUAAAAACUUUAAACACAAGUUUUAAGUUUGAAAGAUGCAAUUGCAUCACUCAAAGAUGAUCCCGCGUUGUAUUAGCUAGUUGGUGAGGUAAAGGCUCACCAAGGCGAUGUUACAUAGCCGACCUGAGAGGCUGAUCGGCCACAUUGGGACUGAGACACGGCCCAAAGUCCUACGGGAGGCAGCAGUAGGGAAUCGUCGGCAAGGGACGGAAGUCUGACCGAGCAACGCCGAGGGAGUGAAGAAGGUUGUCGGAUCGUAAAACUCGGUUGGUAGAGAAGAACGUUGGUGAGAGUGGAAAGCUCAUCAAGUGACGGUAACUACCCAGAAAGGGACGGCUAACUACGUG
rnacentral:rRNA from 1 species